CCUACGGGUGGCAGCAGUGAGGAAUAUUGGUCAAUGGCCGGAAGGCUGAACCAGCCAAGCCGCGUGAGGGAGGAAGGCGCAGAGCGUCGCAGACCUCUUUUGCCGGGGGACAAAAGGCCGGACUCGUCCGGUCCUGAGGGUACCCGGAGAAAAAGCAUCGGCUAACUCCGUGCCAGCAGCCGCGGUAAUACGGAGGAUGCGAGCGUUAUCCGGAUUCAUUGGGUUUAAAGGGUGCGUAGGCGGAGCGUUAAGUCAGUGGUCAAAUUGAGGGGCUCAACCCCUUCCCGCCAUUGAAACUGGCGCUCUUGAGUGGAAGAGAAGUAUGCGGAAUUCCUGGUGUAGCGGUGAAAUGCGUAGAUAUCAGGAGGAACAUCGGUGGCGUAAGCGCUUUACUGGGCCGUAAUUGACACUGAGGAACGAAAGCCGGGGUAGCAAAUGGGAUUAGAUACCCCAGUAGUC
rnacentral:rRNA from 1 species